rnacentral:rRNA from 1 species
GGAAUCUUAGACAAUGGGCGCAAGCCUGAUCUAGCCAUGCCGCGUGAGCGAUGAAGGCCUUAGGGUUGUAAAGCUCUUUCACCGGGGAAGAUAAUGACGGUACCCGGAGAAGAAGCCCCGGCUAACUCCGUGCCCGCAGCCGCGGUAAUACGGGGGGGGCAAGCGUUGUUCGGAAUUACUGGGCGUAAAGGGCGCGUAGGCGGCCUGCUAAGUCGGACGUGAAAUCCCUCGGCUCAACCGGGGAACUGCGUCCGAUACUGACAGGCUCGAAUCCGGGAGAGGGAUGUGGAAUUCCAGGUGUAGCGGUGAAAUGCGUAGAUAUCUGGAGGAACACCGGUGGCGAAGGCGGCAUCCUGGACCGGCAUUGACGCUGAGGCGCGAAAGCCAGGGGAGCAAAC